GAAGUCGGCCAGACCGCCGCUGGCGCACCAACCCGAAAGGGCGCGCUGGAGGAAGGUCCGGACUGCACAGGGCAGCGUAGCAGCCAACGGCUGUCCACCGCGAGGUGAGGAUCAGAGCAACAGAGACGAGUCGCAUCGGGGCUCCGGGAAACCGGGUGUUCUGCGAGGUUCCGGCGCAAGCCCGAACCGAGCAGCCAUCCGCCCCGGGGCAAAGCCCCGGGGCGGGUGAAACGGGCAAUCUCUACGCGCAGCAACACCAAAUAGGCACACAGCGACCUGGCCCGGGGAGUGUGCGGGUAGGUGGCACCGAGCCGGGUGGGCGACCCCCGGCCCAGAGGAAUGGCGGUCACGGCGGCGCUUCGCAAGAAGUGGCCGCCGCACAGAAUCCGGCCUAUCGGCCGACUUCACAC
rnacentral:RNase_P_RNA from 2 species